UUGGAAGUUAUAACAUACUGAAGGGAAUGAUCCCAGAGAAAAAGCGGGAAGAAAGGAUGCUGCAAGAGAAAGAAGAGACUAAUUCCAGCAACAAUGUAUUUAAUUAACUUUAGUUUACUUCACUGGAACAAAUUCCAAUUCCCAGCUGUAAAUGCAAGACAGAAUUCUGCACUGAACUCUUUAAUGCAGGAACGGGUUUCAUGGUAGAUGGCGGAAUGGAGAACUUAUGAAAAAAGAGGAAGAAGGAGAUUUGACUACAAACACAGUUGAGAACAUGGUACAAAGAUGGAACAGAGAGAGUUUUGAAGAUGUGGCCUUGAAGAUUCAGAUGGUAUGGCCACAA